rnacentral:lncRNA from 1 species
AUCUGGCUAACAGCUUCUGUGGCUGUUGUAGCUUGCUUUCUUCUUCUUGCUACUUCUUAAAGCCAUUUCUAGAAGAGAACUACACCAUCAGACUGAAAGAGGUACUUGGCUGCUUCUGCAGCAGAAGGUAGGCCCACCCUCCAUCCAUAGUGAUCUCAGAAGGGUGGGAUCUAGGCCUCAGCCUUGUUUAUGGAUUGAGGUUUGCUCCUCCUUUUUCUCUAGCUAUUCCUAUGCUCUAGGUAGUGCUGUGGCAAAAGCCAAGGAUCUGUCUCAACGUCUGCAGUAACACAGGGCUGUCCUAAACACAGUUGCCUUUUUAGGAAAACUGAUUUGGAUGAGAACAACCAUCUUUAAUUUGUGCAACGUACUGUGUUUUAUCAUGGGAGAGCAUGGUGAAGGCACAGGUUUUUGUUCACUGCUGUUUCCACCCUUUAAGGACCGUGUGUGAAUGCCUGCUCUGUGAGCCCUCAGAAUCUACUGGCUGAAUGAGUGCGUGGAGGAAAUGUGCUCAGAGCUGCUGUGUGUCAUCCUGUGUUUGAAGUGCUCCUGCAGCUAUCAUUCAUCCAGUUAAGAAUUUGAAGAAGUGUGUGCACAAAGACGGAGUCUCACUCUGUUGCCCAGGCUGGAGUGCAGUGGCACAAUCUCGGCUCACUGCAACCUCUACCUCCUGGAUUCAAGCGGUUUUCCUGCCUCAGCCUCCAGAGUAACAGGGAUUACAGGCAUACUCCACCUUGCCCUGCUGAUUUUGUAUUUUUAGUAGAGACAAGAGUUUCACCAUGUUGGCCAGGCUGGUCUUGAACUCCUGACCUCAAGUGAUCCACUGCCUCAGCCUCCCAAAGUGCUGGGAUUAUAGGCGUGAGCCACUGCGCCUGGCCAAAUGCUCUACUUUUUAAUCAAUGUUUUCCAAAAUAGGGAUUUUUGCUAUGUGCUUUAGAAAUUAGAGAACAAACGGUGAUAAUAUAUGCUAAACUUAAAAUUAGUAUGCCUCCUUUUAUAGACAACAAGAACUUUGUCACUUCCCAGUUUGUCUUGUCAUUCAGGAGGCUCAGAGCUACGAUCUGUGCCCACUCGUGCUGCCUCUUCUUAACUUUGAUUUCCUGAAGCAGCGAUUUCAUCUCCGUUUCCCCUCAUCACCUGUUCUUUUAACUGUUUAAAAACAGCAUUACAUGUUGUUGCAAGUGGCCUCAAAUUCUUUUUGGUAGAAGGGAAAUUGUAAUCCAUGAGAAGAAAAAAAUUUUCCUAACUAUUCUCAGGUGUGUUUAAGGGCUGCAUUCCAUGAUGCUAUCAGUGCCUUCUUUCAGCUCACAGGAUAUCGGCCAUGUUAAUGAGUCUGAUGUUGCUAGUAUCACAGGCACCGGAAAAUAUGCACAUUAUGCUGGAGCAUUAGAAUGCAACAGAAAGAGCCCUGGGCUUGGAGUAUGCAGAACUGGUUCUUGUUACAACUCCUCUUACUAGUGGGCUCUGGAAGAAAACACAUUGAAUUCAUGAUCAUGGUUAACCUUUGGAGAGAGAGAGGAGACCAGGAUGAAGGAGCCAGUCGAAGAUCCUGUUCAAGUGUACACUGAGCCAGCAGGUUCACCAGAAAGCUAUUGAGCGUUUGCUGGAACACAUUAUGCAGGGUGAAUUUCUUCUGGAAUGUUGCCAAGGAUUUUUUAUGCUUCUGUGGCAGGCAUUUCUUGAACAUUGUCAUUUAGCCAAGCAAAGAAGAUUUUCUUAAAGGAUAGAAAAUGUUUAAAAAUUUUUGUUUGUUUGAAGAUAGGUUAAAUGGCUAUAUGAUCUCAGGAUAAGACAGAGAAAAUCACUUAUUUCUCUAAGUGAUCUGAUUAGGUUAGUGAUGUUUUGCCUUUAAACAGAUUCAUCAUUAUUCCUAAAGUAUUGCUGUAUUAAUACUGUCUUCUAGAAAGUAUCCACCAGUGCCUACUUUUCUUCGAUAUCAUUAGCUGUUUUUCGAAACUGAAUUUGCUCUUCAGAGAUUUCUCAUAUGUUUGCGUAUAAGGAACUACUGGUAAUAGCCAAGAAAAUUUGGAGGUGCAGAGAACAUGCUGAAACAGAAUUUUUCACUUUCAAUUCUAGAACUAUGCCAUAAAAAAAAAGGAAAAUGUAAAAAUGUCUUUAUAUUAGAGCAGAUAUUUUAAAAGUAUUGCAAAUUCAAUGAUAAAUUCUAAGGUUAAAAUUGGACACAU